rnacentral:lncRNA from 10 species
GCCGGCAGCCUCUGCAUCUCCACCCUGGGCCUGUGGGACCACGCGGGGCUCUCAGACGGCUUCCCACUGGCUGUGGGCUGAAGACAGGAGGGAGGUGCGCAGAGAUGAGGAUGAGGUGCCCUAGGAGGGGCCCCUCUCCAGCCUGGAGUGUCCACUGCAAGUGGAGUCCUAGACGGCGGUGGGCAGCCAGUAGUCACUAAAGAGUCUGACACGACAUGUCACAAGCCCUGCCCGGAACCCUGUUCCCACAAAUGGUGGGGAAGGACCACCCCUGUUCUUUAGGUCUCCAGAAAUGAAUCUGAAAAUUCGCUGGUUUGGGAGCCGUGAGAGCAGCUCCGUCAUUUGUUCGACCCCCGUUCAGGGAGUAUUUCCUGGGAGCCUCUAAGUGCAUCUGCGGAGAAGGCUGGAAAGCAGGGCCCUGCUGGUCCAGAAGCUCUGACCAGCGGGAAGCUACUGGAGCCCAGCGUGGUCCCGCAGGCCCGGGGUGGAGACUCAGGGGCUGGUCGGUGCCACUCGUGGUCCCCCAGGCCAGAGCAGCCCAGGCCUCUGCUGGAAACUCAAGCGCUCUCUGAUUUAAAUGAAGACGCCUUGAAGAGCUCCGGCUGUCCUGGAUGGAUGAAGCAGCAUAGGCAUGACUUGGAAGGAUGUGCGGUGGAAGGGGGGUCGCUUCACUGCCAAGAAACCCUUCCUGAGUCUUCUGGAAAUUUCAGGAAAGGCUGCUCAUCCCAGGAGGCUGAAAAAGUAUGGCUGUGUGUUGGGUGGGCCUAAUGCAGGGCAGCGGCCAGGCUGGCACUCAAGUGUGUGUGUGUGUAUGUGAGUGUGAGUGCAAGAGUGUGUGUGUCUGUCUGUGAGUGUGUGAGACUGUGUGUGACUGUGUGUCUGUGUGUGAGAGUGUGUCUAUGAGUGUAUGUCUGUAAGAGUGUAUGUAUGAGUGUGUGACAGUGUGUGUGAGCAUAUGUGAGUAUGUAUGUGUGUCUGUGAAAGUGUGAGUGUGAGUGAGCAUGAGUGCGUGUCUGUGAGAGUGUGUAUGUGAGAGUGUGUUGUGUCUGUGAGAGCAUGUGUGUGAACGUGUUUAUGUAUGUGAGUGUGUAUGCAUCUGUGAGUGUGUCUGUGAAAGUGUGUGUGAGGAUGAGUGUGUGUCUGUGAGCAUGUGUCUGUGAGAGCAUGUGUGUAUGUGUGUGAGUGUGUAUGUAUCUGUGAGUGCGUCUGUGAAUGUGUAUAUGAGUGAGCAGGAGUGUGUGUGUGGUCUGUGAGUGUGUGAGCGUGUGAGAGUAUGUAUUUGAUUGUGUAUCUGAGACUGUGCAAGUGUGUGUGUGCCUGUGUGCAAGUGUGAGUGUGUGUGUCUGUGUGUAAGUGUGAGUGUGUGUGAGUUUGUGUGUUCAUAUGUGAGUUUAUCUUCCGUGAGAAUUUUAGGCGAAACUGAGGAGAACCGCAGUCAUCUGACGUUGUCAUGAUGGCUGAAGUCCAGGUCUCAGAUCUGGGUGGAAGCACUGGGUCUGAAUAGUGACCAUCUCAUCACAGUUGUCUCCUGAGACUCCCAUUCCCGGGAAGGAGAGUACUUGCCAGGGAAGCCAGCAGCACUCUGGGCGAACGUGUGCCCCUCAAGAGUGGCCGCAGGCUGUAGCAGGAUCCAGAGGAGAGGCGGGGCCGAGGCCCAGUCAGGGUCUCUGCAGGGUCCCUGCAGAGGCAGGGCCUCUGGGAGCCUGGGGGACCCGGGACAGGGAGGUGAAGGAGGAGUAACAGCAGGUGCGAGGCACCAAUGGCCAAUGUGGAAAUUAUGAGUGGGCGCUCCAGCUUCGUCUGCUGAGACCUCUCGCUCACUUCUCUGCGUCUUCACCCUUCCCCUCCUCCCCGGCGCCCCUGCCCUCUGUUAAUGCCAUUAACAGUGGGCGUUAUGUGUGGCACGGCAAGGCCAUGCUCUAAAACACGCGCCUGGGUCCUGAUGAGCCUGCGCUCUCCCUGUGUUUUGGGCGCUGCCUUCAGAGCAUGUUGGUAGUGAGAUGUGGAAGGCCACGCAGCUGUAGUGCACUCACUGUCGCAGCCUAACGGUGCCACACGGACCCGUAAGAGGACGCACAACUGUCAGCUGACUCCGUCACUGGGAAAAACAACACGACAGGGUCUCACUCUGCUGCCUAGGCUGCAAUGCGGUGGCACGACCAUGGCUCAGUGCGUCCUCAACUCCUGGGCUCAAGUGAUCCUCCCACCUCGGCCUCCUGAGUAGCUGGGACUACAGUUGCACACCACCAGAUCCGACUAAUUUGCAGUUCUGUCCGGCGUACAGUGUGAGAUGGGAAUCAACUUUUGUCUUCAUCCAGAUGGUAAAUUAAAUGUUAUUUAUGAAAAAUCCAUUGCUUAAGGUAGUGAUCUGAGAAGCGAAGUUUACCAAUGGCUCAAUAGCGAUUUGAGAAGCGAACUUUACCGAUGACUCAAUGCGUGUUUUACUUUGGUCCUGGGCUUUCUACUCUCACCUCAUGUCUGGUCUGUAUGGCGGGUCUGACACCGUGGGAUGCAGAGAUACAAAUCUGCCUGCCUGUCGCCUCCUCUCAUGGAAACGGUGCAUAGCUCGCCUUUCAUGAUUUAUAAAGUCAAAGCCUUUUUAACUUAGGUAACUAUUAUUAAAGGUAAAGUGUUGUCAAAAUUACAGGGAUCCUUUGGUUAAUGCUGGGGAGAAAAUCAUAAAAUCAUGAAGUUUUUGGAAUAAAUUAUUUCCUCAGACUUUGAGAUAGACAUUUUAGCCACUACACAUUGGCUCAGCCAAUAUUGUGGAAUUCUCUAUUUCUUGCUUAUUAGACAAACGUUGAAUUUUCUUUUCAUGUCUGAAUUAUUAUUUUUUCUUCCCUCCAUACAAGGCAUUCCCUCUAUUAACUCUUAUUCAUUGCUGACACUGCAAGGUAUUUCAGAUUGGGAAAUAGUUGUAAAAAUAAAGACAAUGUAUUAGAAGGGAACAACUGUUGAAAUAUUACUUUAAGCAGAAGUCACAGACUAUAGUUUAUCUUCUUCUAUUAAUAAAAUGAGAUGCUUUCCCUCGACAAAAGCAGUACCAAGUUGAAGAGGGUCACGGCUUUCCAGCCGAGAGUGAAACAGUUUGAGCAAUGCAGCGUGCAGGCUCGCGGGAGGGGCGCUCCGUCUCCCCAGAGCACAGCUGGGAGGUUCCCGCAUGCAGCCCAGGCUUGAUCUCCUCCUGGUGAGAGGGGACCGGCUCCAGGGCAGGCAGGGGAGGCCCGUCCAUCACUCACAGUGAGAUUUUGGCCUACUGUGGUUUCUAGGGAAAUAAAUCUCUUCUUCCAGUCCCUGAAAGAACAUAACCCAUGCUUCCAAAUGACUUAAAACAAUUCAGGUUUCAUUGAAAAGAAAAUAUGUUUAACAUUAUAUGAUUUUCGCUUUUUUAGAGACUUUUAUGUCAGUGAGAGGGAGAACACAAAUGCUGAUUUAAGGAAGUGUUGAAGGGCAUUUCCCCAAGUUGUUCUUUUCCUCUGAGGGGUUUUAAAACCUUACAAUGCUGGCCGGACGCGGUGGCUCAUGCCUGUAAUCCCAACACUUUGGGAGGUUGAGGCAGGUGGAUCACCUGAGGUCAGGAGUUCAAGACCAGCCUGGCCAACAUGGUAAAACCCAUCUCUACUAAAACUACAAAAAUUAGCCAGGCAUAGUGGCGAGUGUCUGUAGUCCCAGCUACUCGGGAGGCUGAGGCAGGAGAAUCGCUUGAACCCAGGAGAUGGAGGUUGCAGUGAGCCAAGCAAGAUCAAGCUACUGCACUCCAGCCUGGGCAACAGAGCGAGACUCCAUCUCAAAACAAACAAACAAACAGAAAAACUUUACAAUGCUGAUAAACUUAAAAAUUAUGAAACACAGCUCUUCUUGUCCUCCUGGGGCGCCCCCCAUCACCCCCAUCACAGCCCAGCCUUCUUCUGCUCCUCUCUGUUCUGAGGGAACUUCCCAUCCUUGUCUUUUUAUGGCCGUCUCAGCAUUUUCCCAGGUGUGUGGCUGUCCCUAAGUUAACCCCGGUUUAGCACACGGGAUGUGAUGCUGAGUGAUGGGAGUUCCUCAGAUAAAAGUGGCGGAUCUUCUUUGACUCAUCUUUUCCUUCCUCCCUCUCUAUCUCAAAUUAGAGUGAGAUCAAAUAUAGUGAAAAUGUUACUAGAGACUUUGGGUUUUAAAUCUCUGUAAACCCAGUGAAACACACUAUUUCUGGGGUGUGCACGAUGUGGUCAGUUAGUUACAAAUGCCUUUUUAUCUAGUGAGAGGUGUUUGGGCAAUCCAUGUGCACACAGAGGAGCGUUUCUGGUGAUUUGAUCAAAUCCAAGUGAGCUAGCUCGUUAGUACCUGUGGCAAGUUUAGAACUUCUGAACUCACAAACAUAUUAAGAAAUUUCCUAGGUUCACAGUGAUUUUUGGUAAACAUGAAUUUAAGUACCAAAAGAGGCAGAAUAAUAGUUUGCAAAGUUGUGUUUCCUUUGAGCUUCUGACUCAAAAGUUACAUCAAAGAUGUCCCUGCCUACCCUUAAUAUUUAAGUAAUGGAAUAAAGCUUAAGGGCCCCGAGACUCAGGAGGAUGCCCACAGGGAGAGGCAGGUAGCGCAGCACCUGGCAUUUAGUGGCUCAGCCCUGGAAUGCUAGAGCCUUGGGUUUUCCUUACAAUUGGGAUGGGAUUGGCCACACCUAUCAACAAUUUCUGUUCACUAGCCAAUUAUAAGAAGUUUAUGCAUGCCUAGACCAUUAAAAAAAAAGAAAAGAAACGUUCGGGGGGCCUGACUUUGUUAGCAUGGCCAAAUGAUCUGUUUUUAAUGUAAAUAUUUUGCUACAUUAAAGUUAUCAAAUCAAAGAUUCUGCUGUUCUUUUGUUCUAAAUAUUUUUGGAUGAUACUUUGGCAGAUGCAUGCCAGACAAGCUAUGUAAGACAACUUCAAGUGAUGUGGCCCUUUUUGGGAAUUCGUGGCGUUUGACUUGCCGAGGUUUGCAGGCUGAGAUGUGGUUAUAGGCAGAGAUGAGCAGCCCAGGGGAAGCCUGUGCUUUGCAUGAUGGCAUGGCCAGAUGAUCAGAUCCAUUCUUAUCUGAGAAGGGGAGAGAGAGGGAGGGAGAGAAAGAGAGGAGGGGAGGAAGGAGGACAGGGAGAGAGGCAGCAGAAAGGUGUAAGGAAGACCUCCUAGGACCUGGGUUAUCACUGCCCAGCUGCUGGGCCUCAUUACACUGAAGAUUGUGCAAUUACAUUGAUUUAUUGUUAGAAAAAGAUGUUUAGACUUCUGGGCUCCCCUGAUUUAGGAAGUGUGUGGGGGUGUUGAAGCGGGUGGCUAUGCGUUCUUCCAAGGAUUCAAACAUGCCCGAAUUUAGGGUUCAGGGUCAGGAACUGUGUAGCAAUGAGGGUGGGAGAACCUUUAUGGAGGGUGAACUGCAGAGAGCUCUGCUGGGCUGCUGAGACCAACCUUUCCAUGAAGAGAAGGAGAAAGAAGUCAGAAUCUGCAGCAGGACCGAGUUCCGGUGUGAACUGAGAGGUGUGCAAUUCUGCCUGAAAAAAGCCCCCUGCCCCAGUGUUGGGGACAGCCAUUACUCUCCACAGUGAACAGAAAGACAAACGCCCCGAACAAGACAGAAACAUUAGAAAAACUGAUUUUCCUCAAUGAAGAACGUUUUUAUCA